AUGUUAUUCUAACCUUGUUCAACAUGUUCUGGAUCAUUGGACCCAUCGAGCAUCUCUUCCUCCAAGGGAUAGUUCAGGUCGAAGGUGGCUGUUUCAUCGGCGGCAUUGAAUGCAUCAGCUAGAUGUAGAAAGCAAAGAGAAAUCAGAGUGGAUCCUUGGAGCUCCUCUUCGGCGAAUCUGACAUGAAAAUCGACAGCAGACACAUCGGCGUCCUCAUCUACGCAGUAGCAGUAAAAAGCAAUGUGCAUUGAACCCAUCCACUUUAUCUACUGUAUAUGGAAGGGUGAGAAAACUCAGAAGGUGCUCCAUAAGCAUCUCCCAUGGAGUGGCCUCUAGCAAGAGGUGGGUGGUCCUGGCUGUGAGGUGAACCUCCAAAAGGGUCAUCUUCUUCAGCUGGAGGAAGGUUGAGGUCCACAGCCAUGGAGUCGUGGAUUUGCUGGAAGUGUAGAGUUCCACAGCCAUGGUCCUGGCCGUGAGGUGAACCUCCAAAAGGGUCAUCUUCUUCAUCUUCAGCUGAUGGAAGGUUGAGGUCCACAGCCAUGGAGUCGUGGAUUUGCUGGAAGUGUAGAGUUUUUUUGGUGCUUCUGGAUGUUGUGGUCCAAAGAGGGUCUUAUGUACUGCUGCUGCUGUCAGUUGGCUUUUGGGUGGUUUGAACUUCCCGCUUGCAUUUUGGCGCUCGCGUGAAAAGCUGUAGUGAGUGGUGGAAUAUACUAGUACCUGUACUUUUUUAUUUGGCCACUCAUGAUUGCGUUUUGUACCUCACGAAUCAGCUCAGGGGCACAUGCGUCAUUUUACCACACUGUUAUUUUUUGCUUU